rnacentral:rRNA from 1 species
UACGUAGGUGGCAAGCGUUGUCCGGAUUUACUGGGCGUAAAGGAUGCGUAGGCGGACAUUUAAGUCAGAUGUGAAAAUACCCGAGCUUAACUUGAGUGCUGCAUUUGGAAACUGGGUGUCUAGAGUGCAGGGAGAGGUAAGUGGAAUUCCUAGUGUAGCGGUGAAAUGCGUAGAGAUCCGGAAGAACACCGGUGGCGAAGGCGGUCUGGCUGGGCAGUAGCUGGACACUGAGGCGCGGACAAGCGUGGGGAGCAAACAGG